CUUCACUCUGGGACAAGCCCUGGAAACGGGGUCUAAUACCGGAUAACACUCUGUCCCGCAUGGGACGGGGUUAAAAGCUCCGGCGGUGAAGGAUGAGCCCGCGGCCUAUCAGCUUGUUGGUGGGGUAAUGGCCUACCAAGGCGACGACGGGUAGCCGGCCUGAGAGGGCGACCGGCCACACUGGGACUGAGACACGGCCCAGACUCCUACGGGAGGCAGCAGUGGGGAAUAUUGCACAAUGGGCGAAAGCCUGAUGCAGCGACGCCGCGUGAGGGAUGACGGCCUUCGGGUUGUAAACCUCUUUCAGCAGGGAAGAAGCGAAAGUGACGGUACCUGCAGAAGAAGCGCCGGCUAACUACGUGCCAGCAGCCGCGGUAAUACGUAGGGCGCAAGCGUUGUCCGGAAUUAUUGGGCGUAAAGAGCUCGUAGGCGGCUUGUCACGUCGGAUGUGAAAGCCCGGGGCUUAACCCCGGGUCUGCAUUCGAUACGGGCUAGCUAGAGUGUGGUAGGGGAGAUCGGAAUUCCUGGUGUAGCGGUGAAAUGCGCAGAUAUCAGGAGGAACACCGGUGGCGAA
rnacentral:rRNA from 1 species